GUCAUUAGUCAAGUUAGGAUGAGGUCAUACAGUAGGGUGGGCCCCUAAUCCAAUAUGUCUGGUGUCCUUAUAGAAAGAAGGAAUGUGGACACAGACCCGCAUGCAGGGAGAUGCUGUGUGAAGAGGAAGGCAGAGACCAGGAUGAUGCUUCUACCAGCCAAGGAACACCGAAGACCACCAGCCACCUCCGGGUGCCGAGGCACUGACACGAUCUCAUCUCACUGCAGCCUCCCCCACCAGGGUUCGAGCAAUUCUCCUGCCUCAGCCUCCCUAGUAGCUGGGAUUACAGGCGUGCACUACCAUGCCCAGCUAAUUUUUGUAUUUUUAGUAGAGAUGGGGUUUCGCCAUGUUGGCCAGGCUGGUCUUGAACUCCUGACCUGAGGUGAUCUGCCCGCCUUGGCCUCCCAAAUUGCUUGGAUUACAGGCGUGAGCCACCACACCGGGCCGUCACCUCAUUCUCUUUACUUUCUAUACCAUCCUCUGAAUGUUUGAAGGUGAGGCACAUUCUCAGGCCAAAAAUCUUUGCCAAAACCCAAGUUUAAAAAAACUAAGAAAAAUUUGGUAAACUGGAAUUCCUGACCUUUCCUAAACAUCGUCAGCAAUGAGUCUCAGCCCUUAUUUUUCUGCCUGAAGAGCUCAGGGCUCUUCAGGGUCAGGAGUGAGGAAACCGGAAGAGGAUGAAGAAUGUGGGGUGCUAAUGAGAUCAUUUCUGUCCUGUAGUUGGAAACCCGGCAAGAGUCAGAAGAUCUGGGGUAAGAAAUGAACCGAAAUCUUCACUGAGUGCAGCAGCGACAAGCUUGAUGACAGAGCCUGUGUAUUUCACUCCAAGGCUGCACGUGUCUGUAAGAACGGGCCUCGCCCAUCUUAUGCAAUUUGCAUAGGAAUCUGAGGAAUAUCAGC
rnacentral:lncRNA from 1 species